GCACCGGCUAACUCCGUGCCAGCAGCCGCGGUAAUACGGAGGGUGCAAGCGUUAAUCGGAAUUACUGGGCGUAAAGCGCACGCAGGCGGUCUGUCAAGUCGGAUGUGAAAUCCCCGGGCUUAACCUGGGAACUGCAUUCGAAACUGGCAGGCUAGAGUCUUGUAGAGGGGGGUAGAAUUCCAGGUGUAGCGGUGAAAUGCGUAGAGAUCUGGAGGAAUACCGGUGGCGAAGGCGGCCCCCU
rnacentral:rRNA from 1 species